AUGAACAGAGCUUGCUCUUUGAUUCAGCGGCGGACGGGUGAGUAAUGCCUAUGAAUCUGCCGGAUAGUGGGGGACAACGUUUCUAAAGGAACGCUAAUACCGCAUACGUCCUACGGGAGAAAGCAGGGGACCUUCUGGCCUUGCUCUCUCAGAUGAGCCUAGGUCGGAUUAACUAGGUGGUGAGGGAAUGGCUCACCAAGGCGACCAUCCGUAACUGGCCUGACAGGAUGAUCAGACCCACUGGAACUGACACACGGUCCAGACUCCUUCCGGAGGCAGCAGUGGGGAAUAUUGGACAAUGGGCGAAAGCCUGAUCCAUCCAUGCCCCGCGUGUGAAGAAGGUCUUCCUAUUGUAAAGCACUUUCUUUUGGGAGGAAAGGCAUUAACCUAAUACGUUAGUGUUUUGACGUUACCGACAGAAUAAGCACCGGCUAACUUCGUGCCAGCAGCCGCGGUAAUACGAAGGGUGCAAGCGUUAAUCGGAAUUACUGGGCGUAAAGCGCGCGUAGGUGGUUUGUUAAGUUGAAUGUGAAAGCCCCGGGCUCAACCUGGGAACUGCAUCCAAAACUGGCAAGCUAGAGUAUGGCAGAGGGUGGUGGAAUUUCCUGUGUAGCGGAGAAAUGCGUUAAUAUAGGAAGGAACACCAGUGGCGAAGGCGACCACCUGGGCUAAUACUGACACUGAGGUGCAAAAGCGUGGGGAGCAAACAGGAUUAGAUACCCUGGUAGUCCACGCCGUAAACGAUGUCGACUAGCCGUUGGGAUCCUUGAGAUCUUAGUGGGCCUCUAACGCAUUAAGUCCACCGCCUGGGGAGUACGGCCGCAGGUUUAAACUCAAAUGAAUUGCCGGGGGCCCGCA
rnacentral:rRNA from 1 species